rnacentral:lncRNA from 1 species
CCGCCGCGGUCGCUGCCCCGCUCGCCGCCGAGGUCGCUGCCCCGCUCGCCGCGCGGCGCGCGUCCUCGCAGUCGCGGCACGAGCAGAAUACGAUAUUCCCGCUCACGGUCUAUGUCCCGCGGCCGGCCGCGCCGCUCGCCGUGGUCGCCCCGCCGACGCCGGACGCGCGAGCGCACUUUGUCCUUGACACGUUCUCCAAGCCCCCGGCGGCGGCACCGCUCCCCGCUCCGCUACCGCUCGCCGCUGCGCUCGCCGCUGCGCUCGCCCUUGCGCUCGCCGUUGCGUUCGCCGC